AGGCAGUAGAGAAAAGAAUGAACAAAGAACA
rnacentral:piRNA from 1 species